rnacentral:ribozyme from 1 species
CACAGUGAAACAGAAAUAACCUGGAAAAACGUUGAUGAGAAGACCUCGCAAUAGCUUAUUUGUCCUCUUUUUUCCUUUUUUCCGUUUUCCUUUUUUUUCCUUUGGACAACCCUAAUGUUAUU